rnacentral:lncRNA from 1 species
UCGGCUCUCAGUUAGGUAGGUUUCAGACACAUGAGCCGUGCCCCUGCCUUUCAAAACCACUUGGAGCUCUAAGUGCCCAGCUAUUCUCUAUUUCCGAGGGUGCUAGUACGCCAUUAUACCACAUGUACAUGGAUGCCACUGAACUUACAAACACGUUAGUAACAUCCACAUUCAGCACUCGCCAGUGGCAGAACCAGGAAAUGUCUCAGAGAAGGUUCUUUAUUCCUCCCAAAUCUCCAUCAGCUCCCAAGCUACCCCAAAUAAACAUACUGUUUAAAACAAAACCAUAGUGGACUGUACAAAGUAGCUACAAGACCAGUCCCCUAGCCUGCCUCCCCUUUUUUCAACCAAUUGUCAUCUGUAAGCCCCUCCUUUGGAGAAAUGUUGGCACUGUCCUUGGGUGAUUUUGAAUUCUAGUUUCAAUCAGUCAGUUAAACAACACGUCUAUAAAGAGCAGCUGUUUUGUACAAAGUAGAAAUGAAGUGAGGGAAUGAAGAGGCUGUCGGCUGAUGUCUUUCCCAGAUCCAUCCUCUUUCUGUGGCCUGGGGCCUAGUUGGUUCCAGGACUCAUCCUAACCAGGGCAAGAAGCGUUUCAGCAACACAAGCCCAGCACUUGUUGGGGCCUAGCAUGGGUCAUAAUACUCUAAGCCCAGAGUCCAGGUUCAUUAAUCCCAGACCUUGUUACGACUCUGAAUGUCAGUGUUCCCUACCCUGUAAUACACACAAGGUAGUAUAACACACUGGUCAGAACAUCUGCACCGUGGAACCAGACAGGGUUGGAAUCCAAGUUCUGCUGCUUACUAGCUGUGUGGCCUUGGAAAGGUUGCUUAACUACUCUCUGCUUCAGUUUCCUUAUCUCUAUAAUGAUGAUAAUAUUAUGCCUACCUCAUAGGGUUAUUUUGAGAAAUAAAAUUCUAGAUGUAAAAAUGCAUAAAAUAAUGCCUAGAUAUUCUUAAAUAAUGAAUCAUUAACAUAAUUAACAAAAAGUCAUUGUUAGUUAUCAUUAUUAAAAUGCUUGCCACACUGUCUGGCUGGCAGUGUACCCUUAGCUUCUUGUCUUCUAAUUAGACAUAGCAGUCCCUCAGUGUCUGUAAGCCACUUACUGCCUGGUGACUGGAGAGAGGCUCAGAAAGUGGCUGCCCAGGCUGGGUACGCCCAACACCUGCCUCCGAAUAUGGCUCUUCUCCUGGCAUGGCUUUGAGGAUGCAAGAACACAUUCAGCUCUCAAGAGGUCUGCGUUUCUGGAACUGAAGGUAAAACUGCCCACACUGCCUUCUUCCUGAAAGACUGCCAGGAGCCCCCACUUCGUGGCUAGGCCAGCAGCUCCCUAGUGGCAAGUGUGGAACCAGGGCAAAAGGAGUUGAAGGUCUUAGUGGAAAGUGAAACUGGUUUCAAUAGCCAGUCUUAGAAGAGAAGUUUAAAGCAACAGUUCAUCAGAAUAAUCACAAAAGUGCCACCAAAAAAAAAAAAA